rnacentral:misc_RNA from 1 species
CAUAUAGUGGAAGCAUGCAACUCUUACAAUCUCCUAAUCCCUAAAACAAAUAGCUAACCAUUUACAUAGGGAUAUCUUCUCAUCCCUAACACAAAUAUCUACAUUUACAUAGCGAACUCUUCAAAUCAAUGAAUCGAGUUCUAGGAUGUCGCAUGCCCCUAUGAAAAACAAAUGGGCAGAACUCUAUUGUACCGUAACUGCAUGAAACCUAACAAAAUGAAGUGCUGCAAGGAAAAUGUAAAGAAUCUGUCAUGUUUUGUUCUUGAGCUUUCAGAUCUACCACAAUAACGGUUAUGUUGUCUUUGCUUCCUUUUUGAAGAGCACGGUGUGAGAGGUACUCAGCUGCUGCCUGAGCUGCAGGAUCAAUUCCCUCACCCCUUUGAGUAGGUUAGUGCAGCACCAUUCUUUUUAUGCCAGACAAGUAUUCGUCUCCGAGCCAGGUCACAUGCUUCUUCGUUUGACAUGACAUUCCAUAGACCAUCACUUGCCAGAAUCAGGCAUUCAUCAUCUUUUGCCCGAGGAACAAACAUUACUUCUGGUUCUGGAAUAAUCCAUGGUUUUAAAUAUCUAUCACCAAUUGACCUUGACAUUGCAAGUACGCCAAAGACACGAUGCCCAUUCCAUUGUAUAACUUUGCCUCCAGCUGCUUCUAUCCUUGCAUAUUCAUCUUCCCGAUUUGGUUUAUGAUCCACUGAUAAAGCCAUAGGUUCUUUCCCACGAUAUAGAACUGCUCGUGAGUCUCCACAGUUCGCCACUAUAAUGUGGGAUGAACAAAUAAUGGCAACAACAGCAGUUGAACCAACAGUUUCAGGGGCAACGGGUUCAGCGCUGCCUUUUCCUCCAACUUCAGCAUCUACCUUAAGAAAACAAUUGGUGAAUGUUUUCUUCCACUGCUCUUGGCAACUAUCUUUUAUACUUCCAUCACUCAGGCCAUUCUUAAUGAAUUCUCCCUCCUCAGCCAAAGCAGAAUGGAUAUGAUCGCGACAAUAAUUUGCAACCUGUGAGCCUCCAUGACCAUCAUAAACUCCAAAGAAAUGAGCAGUCUGGUGAGUUAUAUACUUGCUCAUACCAUCAAGCACCCGGUCCCCAAUUAGCAUUUGUAUAGGAAUUUCCAGAAAAUAAGGCACAGUUGCAACUGCAUCUUCCAUCUCAGGUCUCCUUCCACAUAUAGAUGUAACUCCCCAAAGCGGCACAUAGUCAACCUCAAAAACACUGCAUGUGACUGUUCCCCUCACUCCUUUUCCCAGAGCCAACUGAAGUACAACUGCAUAUGGCUUUGGGUCAGAUCCAUCUCCAAUCUCUUCCUCAAGGCUCACUGCCACAGAAACAGAAUCUCUCACGACCUCUGUCUCAACAUUUGACUCCAAAUCCGCGGCAUUAGCAAUAAUAUCAACACUGCAAAUGCUUUUCCCAAUAUCCACAGAACCUGGCGUUCCUAUCUCAGAGGUGGCCUCAAAACCCAGGAAUUCCUCUCCACAUAAGCUGCUAGGCUCACUAGCCGCUGAAAGAGAACAAGAGCUAUCAAAAAUAGGAUCACCCUCCAAAGAAAAGGAAUCAUCUUCUUCUUCACUUUCCUGGUUUAUCACAUCAUCACUGCCCACCCAAUUAUUUUUAUUUUCAGAGACCAUAUCCAACAAGGGGACUCCUCUCUGCUUGUCCUGUUCUGGAACUGCAACUGUUGUGUCACUAACUUCAUUAUCCAAAUCACAACAAUGACAAUCCUUAUCCCCAACAGUAGAAACCUUAGUUACAGAAUCGGAUAAUAAGCCAGCCGUGUCUUCCAUUAACUUAAGUCUUGUGAUAUCCAAAUGGGUAUCUACGGUUGGGUUUUCACAUACUGAAUUACCUACCCUAAAUGGCACUGCAACCGUCGGAGGCAUCUCCUCCAUCAAAAUCCUUAUCUGAGAAGUACAAAAGGUUACCCUCUGACUCGUCUAAAAUCAUACAACCGGUCAUUGUUCAACUAAAUGAUCAACUCCUCUCAUCAAGAACGAUUUUGGAAAGUAAAGAGCGGGUUUUGGACGACCAUUUUCCAUACCUGCUUAGGCUUUAUCAGCUUCUUCUUCUCCAGACUCUUCUCUAUCUACUUCCAUCAACUAAUACUGUUGUCAAUGCCUAAUACUGUUGUCAACUGUAAGAAAGCGUUCCUGUCGUUCCCCUUCCUAUCUUCAGAACCAAAGACUACCUUCCUUCCUAAAUUCUGAAAGCCAUGGAAGAAUCAAGGAACAAGAUAUAGAGGGGUUUGCUUACCAUUUAAAAACUAACGCCUCAAGUGUGAUCACUAAAGACUUGUUUUCUUGAUUCUUGUAUUAGUCUUGAACAUAAUUUAAUCAUAUGCGGGCGUUUAGACAUGGAAGAACAAGAAAGGAAGUGGAGAAGAAAAGAAAAAUUAACACUGGAAAAGAAAAGGAAAAGGAAAAGUAAAAAAAAAAAUUAGAAAAAGACAUUGCAAAGUGAGUGAGACUGAUGGACAGGUGUCAAGUGAGAAGAGCAGACAACAGCAUCUCUACCCAUCAUCCCAUGCUCCUGUCCUUCAUUUUGCUCCCCACUUCAUAACAGUAAGGGUCUGUUCAAUGUUUGCAUUAACAAAAGGUUUUCAUUCUGCCUAAUUCUCUUUUUCUUAUCUCCUUUUCUACUCAAACAACCAAACACUU